UGCAGACAGCACCGUUUACUUGCGCGGUAAUAUCGAUCGAAGCAGUGACGUCAGGCCGCGUUUAGCGGAUUCAAACGAUUACGAUAAUUUCGCACGGAUUUUUGAGGCCUAAGCCUUUUACGGAAUGUUAUGAAACUUUGCAUACUGAGUUUUAAUGUCAUAAUGAAUGAUUUUAUGAGAAGUAGGCACGUUUUAAUUUUUUUGUGAACAUUUCUAUUAUUAAAAUAAUUGUUAUUAUCAACGUGUUGUGUUGAAGAGGAUACUAUUUUGAAUUAUUUUUUAGUAGAAGGUAAGGAUUGCAGACAUUAUAGGGAUAAAAGUGGCACUUUUUAUUUUAUAUAUUACGUUGUAGAUUGUUGAAUCGAUGUCUAGAUUUAAAUGUUAGCUACUUAUUAACUGAAGAUGCGUGCAUAAUGCUUUAUAUUCUUCAUUAAAGCUCCCUUCAUAACAAUUCAUCACUAUUUUUGAUUAUUUUUAGAUGUUAAUGUAAACAACAUUCUUGCCUUACAAAGAGAGGAAUAUUUAGAGGAAAUUCGAGUUAUCACCAUUAGGAGGCGGGAGCUGAGAGACCCAUCUAACCCCUUUGAGCUAACGGAUGCUAUAUUUAAGCAGUGCUUUAGACUUACUAAAGACAUGGCCCAAUAUGUAUACAAUGCUGUAGCUCAAGAUAUUGAUGUGACUGGGAAUAUUAUGGCAGUUCCACCUGUAUUAAUUUUUUUUGCAGCAUUAAAUUUUUAUGCCACAGGGUCAUAUCAGCAUUCUGUUGGCUAAAAUUUUAACAUAAGUUUUUCCCAACCAGUUGCUGCAAGAGCCAUAGGGGCAGUUACAAAUGCAAUUGAGGAGAUGUUAGGGAAUACAUACAUGGAUAACAUUUCCUGUAACAGUGCAACAAAAAAAUGAUAUUAAGGCAAGAUUUAUGGAAGCAACAGGUUUUGCUGGUGCAAUAUGAGCUACAAAUUGUACACAUGUAGCAAUAUUAGCUCCUCAUGAGGAAGAACAUAACUACCUUAAUAGAAAGCUUGUUUACUCCAAGAAUGUGCAGUUGGUAAGUUUUUCUGAAAGUCCACAGUCUACGGCAAAUAUGUAUAUUUAGUAAUAUUAUUUUUAUCAUUUUCAGUGUGUGAUAUAUAUAUAUUUUGUUUAGAUUUGCACUUAUAUGAUUUAAGAAUUUUAAAUGUAAAUGCAGGGGCAACUCACGAUGCAUUUAUAUGGCGAAAUUCGUAUGUGAAACAACACUUAAUGGCAACAUAUAAUCAAGGAGAUCACAACUCAUGGUUGAUAGGGGAUUCCGGCUAUCCACUGGAGCCAUGGUUAAUGACACCAUUUCGAAAUCCACCAGAGUCUAAAUUCAAUGAUUUCUGCUAAAUUCUAUGACAUAGCUGCUAGAAAUUGUAUUGAACGUUGCAAUGGGAUUUUAAAAACAAGAUUUCGUUGCCUAUUAAGAGAGAGAGAGAGAGAGUGUGUUAAGGUAUUCUCCUGAAAGAGGUGGAAAGAUAAUUAAUACUUGUGCGAUAAAAUUUGAUUCUUGAAGAAGAAAUUAAUGAUGAAGUGUUUGAUAAUAAUUUACUAGAUGCUAAUGUAUUGAGACAGGGUCAAACUGUAAGGAGACAAAUAAUAAACAUCUACUUUGAUUAUAUUUUUUAUAACUCGUUGUUUUGUCAAAGAAUUUUUUUCACUUUUGUAUUAAUGUAUAUUUAUUCGUUAUAUUAUGUUUAGUGUAGCUUAGCACAAUUCAUUUUUGUUAUUAUAUACAUAUAUAUUUUAUAUAUAUUGUACAUCAUGUAAGACCUAUCCAUAAAUAAAUAAACCUCUGGAAU
rnacentral:lncRNA from 1 species